AAGCCAAAGAAUUUAGAGCAAGUCCACGUGGACAUGCAGGUCUCCGCGAGCGAGGAUUUCCUGCGAGGCCGAUCGCGAGGAAGUGCCGGCCCAGAGGCUCGGGCGCGGUGUCUCCCCGGGACCGCGGCCGGCUGAGAAGCCCGGGGCGCUCGCCAGGAGCGGGGACGUCUUCGGUGUUGUGGGGACGGAAGGAGGCGACGCAGGCCCGGAGACGUGCGCGUAGGCGGCGAGGGGGCGCUGUGGCCCGUGCCUGCCGGCCGGAGUCCCACCAGCGGUGGGCGCGACCCACCUCCUCCCACGGCGGCUUAAUUCGGGAAACUAGAAAAAACACAUCAAGGCAUUUCAAUAAAACCUAAGCGGCUCCGGAUCCUUUCUCAUUGUGGUUCCUUAUGAGCUCUUGGUGUUUGGGGAGAAACAGUUACCGUUCCGCGAUGUGUCCAACUAUUUUGAAAAUUGACAUUAAAUAGACACAUUUUAUGUGGGUUUCCUUGAAUGAAGUAACACUUGAAAUAUAAGUAGUAUCACUGUAUCAAAUCAUACGGCUACCGUAUUUACGGUCUCCGGCCCUCCCUCUCCAGGGCUCCCCGCGUGUUUGUGGAGAGACAGAGCGAGGCAGGUACAGGGGGCCGGGGACUCGAGAAGCUUGGCUAAGCAUUUUUUUUCUUUGAAAACAAAUACUGUGUUAUAAAUUGAACAAAAUUUAAGUCAACAUGGAACGCACAUGUCCUUCAAACGUCGUUUACGGGUCUAGUACUCUGCGAAUAGGUGGGACUGGAUUUCACGCGCAACCGGCAUUUCUAGGCUUUCAAAGACGCUUCUGACGCCUAAAUGUUCUCCUGGAAGACACUCGCAGAGGAACAUCCGUGGUAGACUGAGGAGUCCCCGCAGCCCCCGUCCUGGCAGAAUGUGCAAGGCCUCCCGAGCUCCCGGUUUCUGCGAGGUCUCACCAAGGCUAACUCGUCCCUCCCGGCUUCCUACAGUGCUCCGCAAAACUUGCCCUCCUCCCACAGAUGCCCCGCCUCCGACGUGCUUCCUGAAGCUUCUCUCCCGCGCAGCGGUCCCGACAGUCCAGAAUUCUCCAGCCUCUCGCCGACUCCAUUUCUACCCUCCUCUCGUCUCCGUCCCGGCGCUGGCUUCACCCUCUUUCCCUCCUCCUCCUUCCUACCUGCCCCGCCCCCUUCCCAGCUCGUCCCUCUCCUCGCCUGGGUCCGCACCCCUCGUGGCCAGGCGCCCGCCGCAAAUCCAGGCCGAGUCCCGCCACGCUGGGCCGCUCGUGGGCUGCUCUCACCCAGCGAUCCCUGGAAACGGCGCGUCCCGCCAGCUGCGGCUCCAGCCCGGGAGGGAGCGCGGCUCCGGGACCUGCAGCGCCUGGAGAGCGAGGAGACCGGCGCUCCUUGGCAAUGGACAGUCCUGAGAUCCUUGAAGGGAUCGCAGAGGAAGGAGACCCGCUUCAGAAUCAGCAACGACCUGGCCGCCUCAGUUCCUCAACCGGAGACGGUUCGAAGAUGAAACGUUGGAAACUCCACCGCCGUUUCAGCUUUGCGCACACGCGCACGGCAGGCCCAGGCCCACAGGAGACGCGGGCACGCGCGCACUCGCGCUUGCCAGAGAGGUCGGCGCGUCUCGCUGCAGCUGUUCUGGUCAAGCGGAGUUGUCAGGGUUUUGUUUUGUUUUUGUUUUGUCUUUUAAAAGUGUUUUACAAGACCGUCUUCAGCAGGACUUAGCUCCCUCAACCCUCCGUCCCUCCAACGGCUUCUCCGUGGCUUUGCAAUCUGCUUUUUAGACACCAGAGCGCACCUCGGUGCCGGCGCCCAGGAGGCUGCGGAGAGCGCAGGGGUCCAGUCCAUCCCGGCGUGAGCAGAUGGGACUCCUCGCUCGAAAGAAACCACUGGAGAAAAGGAAAUAUUUUCUCGAGUGGUUUUGCAAUUAUUUUAAUCAAACAGGCGAGGCUCUGAAGAGCGUUUGUCUUGAGGCCGUGUUGAAUACCCUUUGCAAACUCUCAGUUCGGCGUGUGUGCCCGAAACCAAUAGCCCUAACCGGGGCUCCGCAGCACACUCCUCCUUCCCACACUCUAGGGCAGGCGUCUACACCCCUGGGCUACAUAGGCAGGGGGAGGGAAGGGUUGGGGUUUGCUUUCUUUGCUUUUAUUUUUAUUUUUAUUUUUCCAAAUAUGGCUGGGAAUGCAGAGAUUGUAAAAAUGAAUACAUUUGAGUGUGUUAAAAGUGAAAACUUCUCUUGGACAGAACAGAAACUGCUGACCCCAGCGGGGGAGAAGAUACUCGCUGCACUUGUAAAUAACAUAGCCUGCUCUACAGCGCCAGGAGGCAUUCUGACUGCCAGUGGGUGAAAACGAAGCACCCAGAGAAACAAAGGGACAGGGAGAGGAGAUGGCCGAGGGUGCUCGCGUUCUCUGCUUGUCUAUGCCCGGACAACCGGAGAUGCCGCUUCUCAUCCAUCGGUGACACCAGGCAAGGCCUAGAGUGUGCACAGUCGAAACUCUCUCCCUGCCCUGCAGCUGGACUUUCUUUUUUUUCUUUUCUUUUUUUUUUUUUUUUUUUUUUUGAGACGGAGUGUCGCUCUUGUUACCUAGGCUGGAGUGCAAUGGCGUGAUCUCGGCUCACCGCAACCUCCGCCUCCUGGGUUCAGGCAAUUCUCCUGCCUCAGCCUCCUGAGUAGCUGGGAUUACAGGCACGUGCCACAGUGCCCAGCUAAUUUUUUGUAUUUUUAGUAGAGACGGGGUUUCACCAUGUUGACCAGAAUGGUCUCGAUCUCUUGACCUCGUGAUCCACCCGCCUCGGCCUCCCAAAGUGCUGGGAUUACAGGCGUGAGCCACCGCGCCCGGCCUGCAGCUGGACUUUCUAUAGAGAAAUGCACAGACUUCUGGUCACAUCUCAAAGAGCACAGAGGUGCUGGGGAGGUGGGGACGAGGCCACCCUGGAGCACUGCCCGCAGGAGUGCAAAACUGGAAAACUCCUCCAUGGCCACCACUCCAGGCCUGGAUAAAGAAUUCGGGGCAUAUUUCACGGAACAGAAUGUCCCUCAGGGCGAAAGGGGAUGAAGUCAUUCUACUUGUAACAACUUGAGUGCCUCCUAAAAGUGUAACCUUGGGGGCGGGGAUACAAAAGGCUGAUGCUUACAGUGGAAUUUUAAAACAAACCAAUAUUUUGUGGUGUCCACAGGCGUGAGGGUGGGGGAGCUUCAGCGUCACCACGGAACAAAAGUGUCCCACACCUCCGCACCUCCACAUCUCCGGGCUCUUUAAGGAGGGAGCGGGCCUGCAAGGAGGACUCAAACUGUUAGCCAUGUUUUAUUUCUGAAAAAUAGAUCUGAAUUAACCGUAGCAAAAUGUUAACAAACUUGGAAUACUGAUGACAUGGGAUUAUAUGACUCUACUUUUUCAUCAUGUGAAAUAUUUUAUGCUUUGGCCAUUAAAAUUAAAGCUUUUUAUAAAAGUGUCAUAUCCACUGAAGUAUAAUGUGCUAAUUUGGGAUUGAUUCAUUUAAAUAAAACAACUUUCUUCAAAUAUUUUAUUUUUAAUGUCUCUUU
rnacentral:lncRNA from 1 species